CCUACGGGAGGCAGCAGUGGGGAAUUUUGGACAAUGGGCGAAAGCCUGAUCCAGCAAUGCCGCGUGUGUGAAGAAGGCCUUCGGGUUGUAAAGCACUUUUGUCCGGAAAGAAAUCCUUGGCUCUAAUACAGUCGGGGGAUGACGGUACCGGAAGAAUAAGCACCGGUUAACUACGUGCCAGCAGCCGCGGUAAU
rnacentral:rRNA from 1 species